GGGCGCUUAGCUCAGCGGUAGAGCGUCUGGCUCUUAACCAGUCGGUCGUAGGUUCGAUCCCUACAGCGCUCAC
rnacentral:tRNA from 1 species